CCUACGGGAGGCAGCAGUGAGGAAUAUUGGUCAAUGGGCGAGAGCCUGAACCAGCCAAGUCGCGUGAAGGAUGACGGCCCUACGGGUUGUAAACUUCUUUUGUCAGGGAGCAAUUGGGUCCACGCGUGGGCUUAGCGAGAGUACCUGAAGAAAAAGCAUCGGCUAACUCCGUGCCAGCAGCCGCGGUAAUACGGAGGAUGCGAGCAUUAUCCGGAUUUAUUGGGUUUAAAGGGUGCGUAGGCGGAAUAUCAAGUCAGCGGUAAAAAUUCGGGGCUCAACCCCGUCGUGCCGUUGAAACUGAUGUUCUGGAGUGGGCGAGAAGUAGGCGGAAUGCGUGGUGUAGCGGUGAAAUGCAUAGAUAUCACGCAGAACUCCGAUUGCGAAGGCAGCAUACCGGCGCCCAACUGACGCUGAAGCACGAAAGCGUGGGUAUCGAACAGGAUUAGAUACCCCUGUAGUC
rnacentral:rRNA from 1 species